rnacentral:lncRNA from 1 species
CAUGGAGGGUGCCCCUGGGGGAGGGUCGCCCCCAUGGAAGAGUCCAACCUAGCGGCUGGGAGCAGGGCCGGGGGGGCAAGAGGGAGCCAGAUGUUCGGUCUCCCCCUCCUCCCCGCCCAGAGCUCGGAGCUGACCCUGAGUCAGAAGUGAAGGCCAAGCUGCAGACCCUGACCUGCUGGAGCUGUGCCACACGGUGCCCAUGGAGGUCACUCACCUGGGUGAGGGCCUCUGCCUUGGCACAGGGAGUAGGGAGGCAGGGGGAGGCGAUCUUCCCCAUUUCUCUGGGCUGGGGCAGCUAGAGGAGGAAGGGAGCGGGUCGGGGGAGGCAGGGUAGCUCUGGUCGUGCUUGGGAUGGGAGGAGGAAAAGAGGGACAGAGUAGGGCUGAGAGAGCUGCCCCAGGCCCUAAGCCGCCCCGUCCCCGAUUCCCAGGGGGCAAGGGCUAUGGCGCAGAGGAAGAGGAUGACUUCGCCGCCUUCCACACCUGGCUGCGCUGCUACUCCGUGCCCGGCAUGAGCUCGCUGCGGGACGGCCACGGCAGAACCAUCUGGUUCUACGGGGAUCCUGGGCCCCUGGCCCCCAAAGGAGAAGAAACGCCGAGGGGGUCGCACCAAGGGGAAAGCCGGGCCUGACUUCAACACCACUGAUGCAGAAGACACGGAACCCACCCGCCCUAGAAAUGGCCCCAGGGCAGGUCGACGCUCAAGCAGGAAGGCGCGGAAGGAGACGGCCAGCACUGGGACCCCGGGGCCUGAGGGAGCCGGUGAAAGAGGCGAGGAGUCCGUCCCAGGGGCCGGAGGAAACCAACCCGCCCCCGAAGACAGUUCGGCCACCGGGGAGAGGGAGCCGCCGCGCCACGCCGGGACUUGGGUAAGAGUUCCGCCUGGGGGUCCGCCUGGCGAAAGCCCCUCUCCUCCCCUGCUCCGGGGUUGCCCCCCCCGCCUCAGACCCCUGCCUGGAGAUACCCCACCCCCGAUGGUAGGAAAGCCUUUCAAGCACAGGAUGGGCUGCCCCCCUUGGUUUGGAUGGUGGGGGGCCCUUCUCCUGCCCGAAGGUUGGAGCCCGGACCAGCUGACUCCUCUCAGCCCCAGCAAGAUAAGCACGAUUCUUUGGGCUUCCCACUCCUCCAGCUCUAAACCCCCUUCUGGCUUCUGCUAGCCUAGACUGGGAAGGUGGAGAGAGGGGGAGGGACUGGGUGUGGAAGUUUUAUUCUGGAAGCUUUUGGGGCAGGACCCCCACAAGGAGGGCAGCUGUGAGGUGG